GAAAUAUUUAAAUUUUUAAUAUUUUUUUCAUAAUUUGUAAGGUGCAUUAUAUAUAUACAAAAUGUAACAUUCAACAUAAAACAUCCAAUAAACAACUGAAUACAUGUUAAAGGUUUAAUGUUGAAAAAAAACCUAAAAUAAUGCAACUAUAGGUAAUAUUUACAUGUUAAAUUAAACAAUUUAUAGACAACAUGUAACAUUCAACAUAACACAUCCAACUAACAACUCAAGACAUGUUAAAUGUCUGAUGUUGUAAAAAUAACCCUAAAUUAUGCAAUUAUAUAGUAAUAUUUACAUUUUACAAUGGCCACGUCAUCGAAAAUGUUAAUUACAAAUUAAUUUCUUGUGUGGGAGCUUAUAAUUCCCAAUUAGUUCUAGCUCGAAAAUGCAUGACCUGGCGGCUAUGGUCACCCCAAAUCAGUUGACCGGAAGUACCGGCGAGUGUUUGUGUGUGUGUGUGAUAGUGCUCUUGGACAGAUCACUGGACAAGGUGGAGGUGGCACUGGACUCCAGGAUGCAGUGCAUCCAGUUCCAGCUGAAAAUGGAUGCUAUGGUCACUCGGAAAACCAGUUGACCGAAAGAUUUAACGAAGGAUUGUGUGUGUGUUGGUGCCUUUGGACAAAUCACAGGUUCACAGGAUAUAUAUGGAGCCUUUGCAAUGAUUGCUGAAUAAGUACAUAUAUGGAGAUCUCAUCAUUCAAGACAGCAGAGCACCGAAAACUUAUUCAGUGUCUUAAGUGAAACGCCGCCAAGUUGAUGCCAUGUAAAUUGGCUAAUUUUUUGGACAUGUUUUCUGAUAUUUUUAUUUAUAUAUAUUUCUGUAAACUAAUGCAAACAUAUCAGCGUUCAAAAAUUAUAUAGAAAUGAACCAGAAUGUUCUU